UCUUUUCAAGUUUGUGGCGGCGUCAAUCGUGUGGUUACGUAAUUUUUUGCAAAAUUGUUUUCAGUUGUAAAUUUUUAAUAAAAAGUGUGUUUAAUUAGUGAAAAUUAAAUAAAUAUGUGCAAAAAGUGUGUGAAAGUCUGUAGGAAAUGUCUAUGAACAACAGUUUUCUUCUUUAUGAUGGUCAAUACGAGUAUCAUUUUGUCAUUUAUCACAAGCAAUUUCUUCUCUCAACUAGUUUGGUCUAACAAUUGUUGAAAAAGUGUGUGUUGUGUGUGGCAAGGAAAAGGAAACAGGAAGUUAACCAUAGAGACACAGAAGUAAAUAUUGAGACCAUAGUUUCGAAGUGUCAAGAUACCGGUACAUACAUAUUUACCCCUUUGCUGUAAAACUGCCGAACCUGUUCGAUCUGCGUAUCGUUGUUCGAUCUGAGUAUCGUUGCAUCGAUUGCUGCUAAUUUACUUUAAUCGAAAGUUAUAAAACUCAUCAGUUUACCUGUUUGCUGUAAAACUGCCGAACCUGUUCGAUCUUCGUAUCGUUGUAUCGCGAUACAUUUAUAUUUACACUCAACAAGUUCGUUUCAUUAAUUGCAGAGAAAAAAAUACCGAAUACUGUAAAUUUUCUUAAUUCGAAAGUUAUAAAACUCAUCAUUUUACCCGUUUGCUGUAAAACUGCCGAACCUGUUCGAUCUUCGUAUCAUUUAUAGGUUGCAUCGAGAAAUAUUUAAAUUUAGACUCAACAAGUUCGUUUAAUUAAUUGCAGAGAAGAAAACAAUGAUUCAUGCUAAUCUACUUAAAUCGAAAGUUAUAAAACUCAUCUGAUAGUUUAUGAAUCCAUCAAUAUGGUUUAAAAAAAGGGUGAGUACAACAGAUUUUUCAUAAAUUACUUUAACUUAUCUAAAUAAAUAGUUAUAAAUUUCCAAAAAUGGAACAACUUCUUAAAAACACACAUCAAUAUAAUUCCCCAAUUCAUUAAUAGUUUUUCUAAAACGCGGACGAAUAGAAAAUUAUAGUUUAAUAAAAAUCGGUUUGGUAUCGUUGUAUGUUGAAACUUGUUGACCCUACACCACUAUAGUGGGGAUCCUAUUUAAAAUCUUGCCUCCAUAGAAUCGGCUACCGAAUAGAGCGUAAACUUAAAUUUUGAAUACCCCUUAUAUUUAUUAUACAUAAAUGUGUUAAUUAUCCAUAUGAAUCAAGAGUAGAGUAUAGAAAAUAAUUUAAUUGAAAAAAAAAAAAAAAAAAAAAAAA